rnacentral:rRNA from 1 species
AGCGAACGCUGGCGGCAGGCCUAACACAUGCAAGUCGAACGGACCCUUCGGGGUUAGUGGCGGACGGGUGAGUAACACGUGGGAACGUGCCUUUUGGUUCAGAAUAGCUCCUGGAAACGGGUGGUAAUGCCUAAUGUGCCCUUUGGGGGAAAGAUUUAUCGCCAUUAGAGCGGCCCGCGUCUGAUUAGCUAGUUGGUGAGGUAAAGGCUCACCAAGGCGACGAUCAGUAGCUGGUCUGAGAGGAUGACCAGCCACAUUGGGACUGAGACACGGCCCAAACUCCUACGGGAGGCAGCAGUGGGGAAUCUUGCGCAAUGGGCGAAAGCCUGACGCAGCCAUGCCGCGUGAAUGAUGAAGGUCUUAGGAUUGUAAAAUUCUUUCACCGGGGACGAUAAUGACGGUACCCGGAGAAGAAGCCCCGGCUAACUUCGUGCCAGCCGCCGCGGUAACAC